CAAACUCAGCAGCAACACUGCUGAGUGUCCAGAUAGCUGAGACCACAGGCACAAUGUACUGUCUUUAGUCCUGCCUUCUCAGUCAAACUCAAUCCUGAUAUUUAAAAACACCUUUGAAACAAGUCUGGAUUGCAGCAAAUAUACUUGUGUUGUAAUUGUCCCUGCCAUGCAAAUGUCCUGACUCACCAAACAGUGUUUUGGAAGCCAGGUGUGGAGUACAACAAAUAGGCAUGCAGAACUGAAGUCACUCAAAUACUCUACAUGAGCUAACAUGAUAGUCAAACAAGCCAUGUUCUUUGUUUUUAUACCUGUUCACUUGUUGCAGGCAAAGAUCCAAACUCUUUAAUGUAUUUGUCAGUUUCUUUGGCAAGCUGGUUUGUGUACUGCUGCUUCUGUUGCAGCUGUUGCCGCAACUCAUGUGUGUCUUGUGGUGUUCCAAGCUGAUUUAGUAUUCUCUGUAUUUCGGCAGAGCAUUGUGUGAUCUUCUGGAUGUUAGAAGUUAUGCGCUGGGCUAGUUGAUUAGGAUCCACCAAGCCGGCACUGUACGACAUGGCUGGGUAGAUUUGCUGUCAAAGUCAUCCACGAUGGGAAUGGUCUCCACCUAUUAGGGACACCCGGCACCGGCGUACCUCCUCGCAGCGGCUGCGGCGGCGAUGACAGGGAGGCCGGCUUCCCGAGCGAGGGCCAGGGCCUGGCCACCCGGCACCGCCCCGUCC
rnacentral:lncRNA from 1 species